ensembl:lncRNA
CAAAGAAGGCGGGGGUGGGGGUAGCAGCAGAAGGAGCUACUCCCCGGCCGCUGCACAGUGACCAGAGCAGCCCGCGAUCAGAGCUCUGAACCCGACUAGUUCCUGGCUUCCUCUUCGGUUCCCUCCUCCUUCUGCAGCGACAACCCCCAGGGUCUCUCCGUAGAGCCUUCGAGAGCCCACGGUGGCCCGGGGCGCCGCGCCCUGACCCGCGCUCUAGGGUCGUGGAGGACUGCGCCCCAUCUGGGAAGACUGCGGCGCUAAGCCUCAAGUACCCCAGGGACACUGAGAAAUCGAAAAACGCGAGUCAGAGCAACUCCCGCCCCCCAGGAGCUGGGAACAAAGACCCCUUUGUUCCAGCUCUGUCCCUCUCCCGAGAGACCAGAGUCCCGUGGGUGUGGUGUCGUGGAGGGGAGGAGACAGGUCACUGCAGGUAACCCGCCUCCGCCUAGAACUUGGGAGGGGGAGGCACCCCACCGUGGUGUCCUAGGUAGCAAAGGCAGCCUGGGGCUCUGGAGGGAGGUGUCCCCCUUCAGGUGCACCUGCCAGCCCCAGCUCCAAGUCAGCUGAGUGCCUGCUACUCGGAUGAUGGGGUCUCUCCAGGUGUGAGGUUUGUGAACUCUCCUCGGCUCCGAAAGGAAUUUCAGCUAUAAACAAUGAUGGACUUGCACAAAGGGUAAGGGAAAGUCACUGCCUUAAACAGAGGCUUCCAUGGCCAUCCUUGAACAGAAAAACCAUCUGGAAGGGUCCACCCAUGGAUCUGCUGUCACUCUAUCUCUUCUGUCUGCCACCUUUGCUACAUCCCAAGAAGACUUUCUGCAUCUUAAUUCUGAAUAUGAAAUGAAUAGGCUUUGUGUUUGUUUUCUCGUCGUUGUCUUUUGAGACUAGGUCACAUGCAACUUAAACUAGCCUUGAACUUCUAAUGUAGCCAAGGAAGAACUUGAACUUCUGAUUCCUGCUUCUACCUUCAAUGCUGGGACUGCAAGUCUAUGCGACUCCAUCUAGCUGCACUGGGUCAUUGGACUCCUGUUUAUCUAGUGAGUGUACCAGUAUCCCCUAAUUUCUCCAUCCAUGAACAACACUUGUUUAAGAUUCUUUACCACAUCUGGAGACAAGCCAUGGAACGCUUUACAAAUGAUUUGAUGGCUUAGUUUUGGCUCCCUCAGAGCCAUGCCCCACAUGGAUGGUGCAGCUUCUCAUGGAAUCAUCUAUCGCUCACACUUCAUUUCUCACCAUCCUCAAAUUUUAGGCUCAGGGAAAAUAAUUUUUUUAGAAAGAUCCCAGUUUACAGUAUUCUUCCAUGGCUCUGUGCUUGAUCACACUGACCUUACCUCCUAACACUUACUUUGCCCACCAGCCACCCCUCGGUUGUAGAGCAUCAAAGCCGUGCUCGCACCUUUAAGCGACUUGUUUUUGCUGAGUUACACAGAUAUGCUGUGAACACCCAUUCACAAAGCAGAUGUUGGGUGAUGAACAAGGCAACACAAAUAAAGUAAUUAUCUCAAUUUCUACUGUCUGUUCCCCGGUGUAUUCCCAGCAGCUUACAGAGUCCUUAGUGCAUUGUGGGAACAAAAUUGUAUGGGGGAGAAGUAAGUAUUAGUUAUCAUAAUUAUUAUCUCAACUACACCAAUAGUUGUUAGUUUAUCUGGUUUUUGUUUUCUGUUUUGUAUCAACCCCUGAGGUUGUAAGUCUGUCUAUCACAUAGGCUGUACUAGGCAAUGUUUGAUAAGUGAGCAAUGAGUGAACGAAUGGAUAGGAUUCACCUAGGGCAGAUCUUUCUGUUCAACAAGUGUGAGCACUAAAGUCGUCAUGCAUUUAUUGUUCACUUAGCUCUCCAGUCUCAUGAUUUCCUCACUGA